UCGGCGAAAGCCGGAUUAAUACCGCAUGUGAUCAGGUCACCUCGGUGACCGACAUUAAAAGUGGCGCAAGCUACUGCUCAUUGAGGAGUCCGCGGCCUAUCAGCUAGUUGGUGAGGUAAUGGCUCACCAAGGCGUUGACGGGUAGCUGGUCUGAGAGGACGACCAGCCACACUGGAACUGAGACACGGUCCAGACACCUACGGGUGGCAGCAGUCGAGAAUCAAUCUCAAUGUGGGACACCCUGAAGGAGCGACGCCGCGUGGAGGACGAAGGUCUUCGGGUUGUAAACUCCUGUCAUUUGGGAACAAGCGGCUUACGUUAACUGCGUGAGCUUUGAUAGUACCAGAAGAGGAAGAGACGGCUAACUCUGUGCCAGCAGCCGCGGUAAUACAGAGGUCUCAAGCGUUGUUCGGAUUCAUUGGGCGUAAGGGUGCGUAKGUGGCGUCGUAAGUCGGUGUGAAAUUUCGGAGCUUAACUCCGAAACUGCAUUC
rnacentral:rRNA from 1 species